GAAAUACUCCCUCCGUUCGGAAUUACUUGUCUCGGAAAUGGAUGUAUCUAGAACUAAAAUACGUCUAGAUACAUUCAUUUCUUCGACAAGUAAUUCCGAACGGAGGGAGUAGAAC
rnacentral:pre_miRNA from 1 species